rnacentral:rRNA from 1 species
AUCUACAGCCAUGCUACCCUGAACAAGUCCUAUCCUGUCUGAUCUCGGAAGCUAAGCAGGGUCGGGCCUGGUUAGUACUUGGACAGGAGACCACCUAGGAAGACCAGGUGCUGUAGGCG